rnacentral:lncRNA from 1 species
CACCAUUCCAAAAUCCUUCGCCGUCUACUUCUAUUCUCACAUAUCUUCUUCAUCUAAACUAGCAAUGUGUAAUUAUUCUCCCAUUUUCUCUCUACCAUCACCGAGAACAGCCUCAACUUGAACAAUCACUAUUUUGAACAACCAUUCAAGAAACCAAUGUUUUGAACUUUAGAACGCAUAAAGUUUUACUUUGCUUCUUUGUCUAUAUGUUAUGUUUUCCUUCCUAUAAAGCAAUUGCUGCAAUUUCUAAUUUGUCUUUUGAGGAGGUAGCGAUGAUUUGUUUAUGUAAUGAAUAGCAAUAUGCAUUCUUGAAAAUCUCUCACCUACCGGGUUGUGUAGUAUGGCAAGAGUGUGUAAGAAUUUGGACAUUGGAAUCAAGUAAUGGCCAUGAAGUUAUGCUAAUUUGAAGGUUAUGCUUUGUCUUAAAUGCAGUGAACUAAGAAUGAAGGUUUGUAGUUCAAAAGUAGAAAGUGUUGUUACUUUUGCUUAUACUUUUU